rfam:Ascaris suum AG00805, whole genome shotgun sequence.
GGCCUCGUGAUGUAGCGGUUAUCACGUCUGCCUUACACGCAGGAGGUCGCCGGUUCGAUCCCGGCCGAGAUCA